rnacentral:rRNA from 1 species
UGUACACGCUGUGACUAGCAUAUCAAUAAGCGGAGGAAAAGAAACUAACAAGGAUUCCCCUAGUAACGGCGAGUGAAGCGGGAAGAGCUCAAAUUUGAAAUCUUAAAGGGUUUCCCUUUACGGAAUUGUAGUUUAAGGAAGUGUUUUCUGUUGAGGUUUUGGUAAAAGUUCUUUGGAAUAGGACAUCAUAGAGGGUGAGAAUCCCGUAUUUGACCUUUACUUUCAACUUUGUGAUACACUUUCAAAGAGUCGGAUUGUUUGGGAAUGCAGUCCAAAAUGGGUGGUAAAUUUCAUCUAAAGCUAAAUAUUGGCGAGAGACCGAUAGCGAACAAGUACCGUGAGGGAAAGAUGAAAAGAACUUUGAAAAGAGAGUUAAACAGUACGUGAAAUUGUCAAAAGGGAAGCGUUUGACACCAGUGUUGUUUUUCUGAAAAUCAAUUAAAGAACUGUUUAUGCUAAGUUGUUUAGACUUUAUCAGCUAACUGUUUAGUUUUGAGCUUUUCUUUAAUGCACUUUUCAGUUAACAAGUCAACAUCAAUUUCUUUUGCUGUAAAAAAGCUUGAGGAAGGUGGCUUGAGAUUCGUCUUAAGUGUUUAUAGCCUCUUGCCUAUGCAGUCGGAGAGAUUGAGGUCUGCAGCGUAGAUCCUUCGGGGCUAAAUGCAUUUGUGCUAAGUUAUAGCAUUUUAUAGACAACUUGUUGACUAUGAUUUGUCUUGUAGCUUACUCGCUUAUGUUAUUUUACCUACGCUUAGGAUGUUGACAGCAGUAUAGACUGU